rnacentral:rRNA from 1 species
UCGCAGGCCAGUGGCGCAAGGGUGAGUAAGGCGACGGUAACCAACCCCACGGGUGGGUAUAGCCGAGGGAAACCUCGGGUAAUCCCCAGCGACGCGGCGGCCCGGCAUCGGGUCGCCGCCAAAGGUCCGCCGCCGUGGGACGGGCCGUCGUGGUAUUAGGUGGUUGGCGGGGUAACGGCCCACCAAGCCGACGAUGCCUACCGGGCGUGCGAGCGUGGCCCGGCACACUGGGACUGAGACACUGCCCAG